GAUGAACGCUGGCGGCAUGCCUAACACAUGCAAGUCGAUCGGUAAGGCUCUUCGGAGUACACGAGAGGCGGACGGCUGAGUAACGCGUAGGAACACACCCUGCAGUGAGGGAUAAGACACCGAAAGGUGUUCUAAUACCGCAUACGGUCUUCGGAUUAAAGCAUUUAUGCGCUGAAGGAGUGGCCUGCGUCAUAUUAGAUAGUUGGUGAGGUAAUGGCUCACCAAGUCGAUGAUGUGUAGCUGGUCUGAGAGGAUGAUCAGCCAGUCUGGAACUGAGAUACGGUCCAGACUCCUACGGGAGGCAGCAGUGAGGAAUAUUUCACAAUGAGCGAAAGCUUGAUGGAGCAAUGCCGCGUGCAGGAUGAAGGCCCUCGGGUUGUAAACUGCUUUUAUAAGAGAAGAUUAUGACGGUAACUUAUGAAUAAGGGACGGCUAACUACGUG
rnacentral:rRNA from 1 species